GACGAACGCUGGCGGCGUGCUUAACACAUGCAAGUCGAACGAAGAGCGAUGGAAGCUUGCUUCCAUCAAUCUUAGUGGCGAACGGGUGAGUAACGCGUAAUCAACCUGCCCUUCAGAGGGGGACAACAGUUGGAAACGACUGCUAAUACCGCAUACGAUCUAACCUUGGCAUCGAGGAUGGAUGAAAGGUGGCCUCUAUUUAUAAGCUAUCACUGAAGGAGGGGAUUGCGUCUGAUUAGCUAGUUGGAGGGGUAACGGCCCACCAAGGCGAUGAUCAGUAGCCGGUCUGAGAGGAUGAACGGCCACAUUGGGACUGAGACACGGCCCAGACUCCUACGGGAGGCAGCAGUGGGGAAUCUUCCGCAAUGGACGAAAGUCUGACGGAGCAACGCCGCGUGAGUGAUGACGGCCUUCGGGUUGUAAAGCUCUGUUAAUCGGGACGAAAGGCCUUC
rnacentral:rRNA from 1 species